GCUGGCGACCAUAGCAAGAGUGAACCACCUGAUCCCUUCCCGAACUCAGAAGUGAAACCUCUUAGCGCUGAUGGUAGUGUGGGAUUACCCAUGUGAGAGUAAGUCAUUGCCAGCU
rnacentral:rRNA from 1 species